AUAGUUAUAUUUCUUGAUUUUUUAUAGUGUUUGUAGGUCACCUCCACUAAAAUGCAACCACUUCCGGUCAUCUCUGCUGAAAUCCGGUCACCUCUACUGAAAUCCGGCCAUCUCCACUGAAAUCCGAUCACCUCUACUGAAAUCCAGCCAUCUCCACUGAAAUCUGGUCACCUCUGGCACUAUUCCAGAGUUGGUUCGAAAACCCGGAUUUUAGAAAUGAACUUCAAAACUUUUUGAGUUCAAGUUACCCGACAAAGUUUGGAAGCGAAGAUGUUGAUGGUGAAGAAGCGGAUGAUGGCAGCGAUGAUGACAUGGAUAUGAUUUAAAAUUAUGGCAUUUUAGAUGUUAAGUAGGUUUAUGACGUAUUAGUGACUUAAAACGAAUUCGGAUUGUGACGUUUAUGUAGUUUACGCUUAUGUAGUUUAUGCUUAUGUAGUUUAUGUUUG